rnacentral:lncRNA from 1 species
UUUGCAAUAGCAUCUUGACCAGCCUUGCGAUAAUCAUAUGGACACUCAUGCUUGUCCGAGUAACGAUGGGCUGAGCAGAAAAGAUUCCCACAUCGGCAAUUGAAGCCGGUCAAACCAACUCGUUUCCUGCAGGUGCUGCACCUUUUUGGUCCCUGCUUAGCCUUCUCAACUUCUUUGCUCUCGGGUGGACAUGCAACUUGUGUGGGUACAACCAGGGACUCUGCAGGACCUUUCUGCACGGUUGCAGCAACAUCAAUGGCUUUCACACUAGUGCUUGAACUUCCAUUCACAAAGCUUUCAAUAGAUGAAGCGGCAAAGUUAGCUUGUUCUUGCUUAAACAUCAUAUCCUUGUAGCACUUUGAGCACAAGUUCAUUGUAGCUGCAGUUCCAAAAAACCCACAAUUG